rnacentral:lncRNA from 1 species
AGUGACGCUUUUCACAUCGUAGACCCGAAGGGGCGGAAGCCGGCAGAUUGUUUGAAACCAGAAUGGUCCGCGAGCUGUUUGAUGCUGGAGCGCUCAGCUUAAAACAUGGAGAUCACGAUGUUCAGGGCAGACACAGGCAGACGCAUCUCUUCGUGUAGAGGCAAGAAACUCGACAGGUCAUGGCACCCACAAACUUCUUCAGCAGCAGCAAAGCUGAAGAUCCGCGUAGACGUAUGGUGAUGCCACAUUGCGAUAAACAAUUAGGGCCUUUGGGAAGCACAAGAAAGCAAGAAAGGCUUGGACGGACUUUGCGUGAGCAUCCUGAUUUCAAGGACAGCAUACUCUCCUGCGUAUGAGGCGAUAUACGGCAAUGCGUUCUUGACGCUGUUUACAUCCUGUGUGUGACGACGGCAACGCCGUGUUUAGCAUGCUCAACUAGGCGUGCCCUAUUGCCGGCUAUUCCUAGUUGGUCGCCGACUUUCUGUUUUUCUUGGCGUCGGAAUAAAGCGCUACGUGCCUUCAAUCUGUUCCACUCGUAGAAGAAAAGAAGAAACCCGACGCAGGAUGGCUUUGGGAGCAAAUGCUUUCGAUCGCUUGACCCUGUACUAACA